ACGGCUAUUACGCGUUGAAACAACGGUUCUUGUACGAUCACCGAAGUUAAGCAACGUCGAGCCUGGUCAGUACCUAGAUGGGCGAUCGCUAUGAAAUACCAGGGGCUGUAA